AUUUCAGAAAAUAUACAACCUUAUUUAUUUGUAUUAUACAAUCAUACAUACUACUUGUUAUAAAAUGCAAAUUACAUAGAAAUGUUUAAAACAUUGCAAAAAGGAAAAUGCCUUCAUCAAAAACUUUUUUUUAUCCUAUCCUAACCCUUUCCCGAAGGCUAAGUACAUUGUUAAAAGUUCACUAUGCAUUUGUAAGGGCGUGCAUAUUUGUAUAUACGUGUAUGUACAUUUACAUAGUCACAUGAGAAACUUGCAUAUUAGAAUCAAUGGGUUUGUGACUAAUAUAAAUAUUAAGAAAUAUUAAAACAACACACACUAUUUUUUCAAACUUUAUUAGCCCUGUUAAGAGUAUGUCAGGUUGCAAUAAGAAAUUAAUUCCCAAAUUUGAAUAGAUUAAUAAAACAGAUUUAUUUCUCACUUAGGUAAUAGUAUAAUGCAAGUGAGUCAGGAACUCUAUUACAUAAAUAAAGUCAUUCAGCACCUCCGACUGACAAAGAUUCCACUUUUUGUAGUUGUAUCACUUAAAACAUGUAGCCUCUUUUCUAGGCUUCAGCCAGGAAGUAGCACGCUUUACUUCCCUUUACAGCACACAUUGGGCAGAACUGGUCAUAUUUUCUUGCCUUACUACAAUGGUACAGAGAUAUGUUGGAAAGCACAUUUGUAGUCACCAAGCAGUAAACAACUCUCACAUGCUGACUCACAAGCACAUCAUACUACUUGUCACGUGUGUCCGUGUGAAGAGACCACCAAACAGGCUUUGUGUGAGCAAUAAACUGUUUUAAUCACCCGGGUGCAGGCGGUCUGAGUCCGAAAAGAGUGUUAGAGAAGGGAUAUAGGGCUGGGGCUGUUUUAUAGGAUUUGGGUGGGUAGUAGAAAAUUACAGUCAAAGGGGGUUGUUCUCUAAUGGGGAGGGGCAGGGGUCACAAGGUGCUCAGUUGGGGAGCUUCUGAGCCAAGAGAAGGAAUUUCACAAGGUUAAUUGCUCAGUUAAGGUGGGGCAGAAACAAAUCACAGUGGUGGAAUGUCAUCAGUUAGGGCAGAAACUAGCCAUUUUCACUUCUUUUGUGAUUCUUCACUUGCUUCAGGCCAUCUGGAUGUAUACGUGCAGGUCACAGGGCAUAUGAUGGCUUAGCUUGGGCUCAGAGGCCUGACAUUCCUGUCUUCUUAUAUUAAUAAGAAAAAUAACAUAAAAUAGUGUUGAAGUGUUGGGGCAGCAAAAAUUUUUUUGUGGUGGUAUGGAGGGAUAAUGGGCGAUGUUUCUCAGGGCUACUUCGAGCAGGAUUAGGGAACCUAGAGUGGGAGAGAUUAAGCUGAAGGAAGAUUUUGUGGUAAGGGAUAAUAUUGUGGGGUUGUUAGAAGGAGCAUUUGUCAUAUAGAAUGAUUGGUGAUGGCCUGGAUACGGUUUUGGAUGAAUUGAGAAACUAAAUGGAAGACACAGGGUCUGGAUAAGGGAAGGAGAAAAACAGAUAUUAGAGGACUAAGAAUUGGGAGUACCAAGGACAACCAAUUAGAGAGUGCCUAAGAGGGUUCAGCAUAAUUACUUGCUUGGUUGGCAAGUUUAGCUCUAUCCUUGAGUUUUUUUAUGUUGUCAUACACCAGGCAAGAUUUAUUUAGGUAAAAACAACACUUUUCAUUUAAAAAUAUACACAGUCCUUUUUUUUUUUUUUUUUUUUUUGCAGUGAGUAAGUUGAGGCCUCGGUGAUUUUGGAGGAAGAGAAAUGCAAAGCCAGCAAUUGUUUGUUAAAGAAGGAUUAGAAACAGCUAGGAGAGACUGAGAGAGAUUGAUAGUGUGGUGGAGAUAGCUGGGGAGAAGUAGAGGGUGGCAUAAGAACGGGAAUGAGAAAAAGAAUGUGUAUAAAAGUAAAGAAUAGGACUUCAUCAGGGUGAAAGUACUGGAGUGUACCCUGUCAGCAAAGAUUAUCUACUUUAAGAGAGACUUAAGGGUGGAGGUUUGAGGUAAAACCAAGAGAUGUCAGUUAUGAUGGUUUGAAGGAAAAGUAUAAACUGGCAAUGUAAACAAGGGCAGGGUAUUUAUGAGUAGUUGAGAAUGGUGAAUAGGAGCAUGACUAGACAGAAGAUAGUAGGGAUGACAAGUUUUUGGGGUGCAGUUCAAGUUGGGGCAGUGUCAGGAAUGAGACUGGGGCCUAAUAAAAUGGAGUGUCCAUACAGGAGCUUAAAUGGGCUGUACCCUGUAGCACCCCAAGGACAGACCUGAAUUCUGAGAAGGGCAAGGGGUAAAAGUAUUGUCCAGUCCUUUUUAAGUUGGAGGCUGAGCUUGGUGAGGUGUGUUUUUAAAAGACCAUUAGUCUGUUUUACCUUUCCUGAAGACUGAGGAUGGUAAGUGGUAUGAGGGUUCCACUGAAUACCAACAGCCUGAGAAACUGCUUGGGUGAUUUGACUAAUAAAGGCUGGUCCGUUAUCGGACUGUAUAGAGGUGGGAAGGCCAAAUCGAGGAAUUAUAUCUGACAGAAGGGAAGAAAUGAUUGUGGUGGCCUUCUCAGACCCUGUGGGAAAGGCCUCUAAUCAUCCAGUGAAAGCGUCCACCCAGACCAAGAACUAUUUUAGUUUCCUGACUCCAGGCAUGUGAGUAAAGUCAAUUUGCCAGUCCUGGGCAGGGGUGAAUCCCCAAGCUUGAUGUGUAGGGAAGGGAGGUGGCCUGAGAAAUUCCUGAGGAGUAGUAGAAUAGCAGAUGGAACACUGAGAAGUGAUUUUUUGAGGAUAGAUUUUUAUGAUGGAGAGGGAAAGAGAGGUUUUAAGAGGCAGGCUAGCGGCUUGUAACUUGCAUGGAAGAGGUUAUGAAAUGAUGACAGAAUAGAAUGGGCCUGUGAGGCUAGAAGGAGAUAUUUUCCUUGGUCCAAGAACUAUUUGCCUUGUGUUGGAAGAGAUUGAUAGGUGGAAGUUUCAGUUGGGGAGUAGGUGGGAGUGACUGAUGAGAAGGAGAAAAACUGGCUGUGAGAGACAGAAGUUGGAAUGCUAGCUGCUUCUUUAGCUACUUUAUCAGCAUAAGUGUUGCCCUGAGCAAUGGGAUCUGAUGCCUUCUUGAUGGCCUUUGCAAUGAAUGACUCCAGCUUCCUUUGGAAGUAAAGCGGCCUUGAGAAGAGUUUUUAUUAAAGAGGCAUUAAGGAUGGAGGACUUUUGCGAAGUGAAGAAACCUCUUUUUGCCCAUUUAACAGAAUGGUGGUGCAGGAUAUGGAAGGCAUAUUUAGAGUCAGUAUAAAUAUUGACACGUAGUCCUUUUGCAAGAGUGAGGGCUCGAGUUAAGGCAAUGAGUUCGGCUUGCUGAGAGGUAGUGGAGGGGGGCAGAAAGUAUAUGCAUCAGGUGUGAGGAAGAAAAUAGAUUUUGGAAGUUAUAAGAACUGUAGAGAGUGAGUUGAGCAUAGUUUGUGAUUUUGAGGGCCUCUAAAAGUAUUAAAGCAGCAGCAGCUGCUGCAUACAGACAUGAGGGCUAGGCUAAAACAGUAAGAUCAAGUUGUUUGGACAGAAAGGCUACAGGGUGUGGUCCUGGCUCUUGUGUAAGAACUCCGACUGCACAGCCCUGCACUUCAGCUUUGUGUAAUGAAAAGGGAGUGAUGAGUUAGGGAGAGCUAGUGUGGGAGCUGUUUUUUAAGGAAUGGAAAGGGGAGUGGGGAAAGGAUUUAGGAUUUAUGGGGUCAGCUAGGUUUAUCUAGAACAGAAUAAUGGGUUGUAGAGGGAGGUAUUGAGAAUAGGAGAGUAUAUGGGUUUGGCACCAUGGGGUGGAUAGGAAAAAUAAUUUGGUUGAUAAGGUGCAGAUCCUGAACUAACCUGUAAGGCUUGUCCGUUUUUAGGACAGGUAAAAUGGGGGAAUUGUAAGGAGAGUUUAUAGGCUUUAAAAGGCCAUGCUGUAACAGGUCAGUGAUAACAAGCUUUAAUCCUUUUAAAGCAUACUGUGGGAUGGGAUAUUGGCAUUGAGCAGGGUAAGGGUGAUUAGGUUUUAAUGGGAUGGUAAGGGGUGCAUGAUUCGUCAUCAAGGAGGGAGUAGAGGUGUCCCAUACUUGUGGGUUAAGGUGGGGAGAUACAAGGGGAGGAUGUGAAGGAGGCUUUGAACUGGGGAAAAGGGCAGCAAUGAGGUAUGGCUGUAGCCUAGGAAUAGUCAGGAAAACAGAUAAUUUUGUUAAAAUAUCUCAGCCUAAUAAGGGGACUGGGCAGGUGGGGAUAACUAAAAAGGAGUGCAUAAAAGAAUAUUGUCCAAGUUGGCACCAGAUUUGGGGAAUUUUAAGAGGUUUAGAAGACUGGCCGUCAAUACCCACAACAGUUAUGGAGGCAAGAGAAACAAGCCCUUGAAGGUAAUGUGGAGUGGGUAGCCUCCAUAUUGAUUAAGAAGGGGUUGGACUUAUCCUCCGCAGUAAGAGUUACCAGAAGCAUCUGUGAUGGUCCAGGAGGCUUCCGAGGUGAUCACGCAGUGUCAGUCUUCAGCCGCUAAGCUGAGAAGAUCUGGGAAGAAGUCAGUCAGAGCCUUGGGCCAGUUGGACAGUUCAAUUUCCAGUGGGGUCCUGCACAGAUGGGACACGGCUUAGGAGGACUCCCGGGCUGCGGGCAUUCCUUGGCCCAGUGGCCAGAUUUCUGGCACUUGAAGCAAGAUCCUGGGGGAGGAAGUCCUGAAGGAAUGCCUGACUGCUGUGGCUUAGGUGUUUUGAAGUUCUUGUGCACUGCAGCUGUGGUUGAGGUUUCUCUCAUAGUGGAGGCAAGUAAUUGCAACUCUUCUUUAUUAUUGUACACCUUGAAGGUGAGGUUAAGUCCUGUUGUGGGGUUUGAGAGCUAGAAUUUAAUUUUUGGAGCUUUAUUUAAUGUUGGGAGCGGAUUGGGUAAUAAAAUGCAUAUUGAGAAUAAGACUGCCUUCUGACCCUUCAGGGUCUAGGGCUAUAAAGCGUCUAAGGGUUGUUGUCAAAUGGGCCAUAAACUGGGCUGGGUUUUUAUAUCUGAUGAAAAAGAGCCUAAAUGCUAACUGAUUUGGGAGAGGUUGGUUAAAGAAAAAGAAGCAUUAACUUUGACUAUGCCUUUAGCUCCAGCCACCUCUUUAAGAGAAAAUUGUUGGGCAGGUGGGGGAGGGCUAGUAACAGAAUGGAACUGUAAGCUGGACUGGGUUUGGGGAGGGGAGGUGAUAGAAGGAUUAUAGGGUGGAGGAGCAAAAGCUGAGGAAGAAUUGGAGCCUGAUUCAGCCUGGCGGGGAGCGACCUGAGGAGCAGUCUGGGGAUGAGGGGAGAGGUCAGAUGGGUCUGUAGAAAAGGAAGAUUGAAAAGACACAGUGACGCUUGGGGUUGGGUUGGGACUGAGGGGAAAGGUGGGAGGGAAAGAAGGAUGAUUUGGGAUGAGUCACAUUGGGAACAGAGACUAGGGAGGGAUCAAUGUGUAAAAGAAUGGCUGGAUGUCAGACACCUCAGACCGUUUUCCCAUUUUACAAGAAUUAUCUAGAUCUUGUAGGAUGGAAAAAUCGAAAGUGCCUUUUUCUGGCUAUUUGGAACCAUUGUCGAGUUUGUAUGGGGGUUAAGCGGCAUUGCAGAAGAAAAUAAGGCAUUUAGGUUAUAGGUCAGGUGUGAGUUGAAGACGUUUUAAGUUCUUAAGAAUACUGGAUAAGGGAGAAGAAGGAGGAAUGGAGGGUGGAAAGUUGCCUAUAGUGAAGGAGGCAAGCCCAGAGAAAAGAGAGGGUAGAGACAUGGAGAAAAGGGGUGGGGGGUGCUUGCCCCCCAGGAAAGUGGUGCUUGCCACUAAGGGUGAAGGAUCAAGGGAGGUGUCCCCGCAGUGAUCAGACACUUCUGCAAUGUGGGUGAAUAAUCUAGCAGGCAUCCCUGCAGUGAUUAAACACCAAGGGAAGACUGUCUUCCCGAGUGUGUGACCGGCGCCAGAGUUUUGGGUUCACAGAUAAAAUGCGUCUCCUCUGUCUCUACCAGAAAAGGAAAGGAGCUGAAAUUAAGAGAAGGGAGAGAUUGAAGGAUGGCACCAAGAUUGAAAAGAGAAAGAGGUUGAGGGAUAGUGAGGGAGGUUGGAGAAGAGAGUAAAAAGAGGCCGCUUACCAGAUUUAAAAUUGGUGAGAUAUUCCUUGGGCUGAUUGGUCUGAGGGCCAGAGGUCGUAGGUGGAUCUUUCUCACAGAGCAAAGAGCAGGAGGACACGGGACUGAUCUCCCAAGUGCGGUCCCCCAAUUCAAGUCACAGCACCAAAUGUCACACAUGUCCAUGUGAAGAGACCACCAAACAGGCUUUGUAUGAGCAAAAAAGCUUUUUAAAUACUUGGGUGCAGGCGAGCAAGUCCAAAAAGAGAGUCAGCAAAGGGAGACAGGUAUGGGGCCAUUUUAUAGGAUUUGGGUGGGUAGUGGAAAAUUACAGUCAAAGGGGGUUGUUCUCUUGUGGGGAGGGGCAGGGGUCACAAGGUGCUUAGUGGGGGAGCUUCUGAGUCAGGAGAAGGAAUUUCACAAGGUUAAUUGCUCAGUUAAGGUGGGGCAGAAACAAAUCACAAUGGUGGAAUGUCAUCAGUUAAGGUGGGGCAGAAACAAAUCACAAUGGUGGAAUGUCAUCAGUUAAGGCAGACACCAGCCAUUAUCACUUCUUUUGCGAUUCUUCAGUUGCUUCAGGCCAUCUGGAUGUGUACGUGCAGGUCACAGGGGAUAUGAUGGUUUAGCUUGGGCUCAGAGGCCUGACACUACUGACGUAAUAUUGAGGUUCCAGAAUAAAGACAGAGUAAUAAUAGAGAGUUUAUUAUCACAAUGUUGGUAGGUAAAUAUAAACCUCCUAUGACCACAUAAUUCAUGAUUUCAAGUAAUUAGCUUUUAUCAAAAAUAUUUUUAAAAACAUAGUUUCUUAUUCUAAACAUAUAUUGUCUUAAUUUGUUUUAUGCUGCUAUUAACAGAAUACCUGAGACUGGGUAAUUUAUAAGGAACAGGGAUUUAUUCCUUACAGUUCUGGAGGCUGGAAAGUCCAAGGUCCUGGGGCCUGUAUCUGGUGAGGGCCUUCUUACUGUAUCAUCCUAUAGCAGGAGGUUGAAGGGCAAGAAAACAUAUGCUAGAAACGCAGAUUAAGUGAAAGAGAGAGACAGAGAGAGAAGGGAAAGGGGGCAAAAUUAUACUUUUAUCAGGAACCCACUUUCAUGAUAACUAACCCACAUCUGCAACAAUGGCAUUAAUCCACUAGAGCCCUCAUGACCUAAUCACCUUUUGAAGGUCUCACCUCUCAGCAUUGCUUCAUUCAGAAUUGAGUUUCCAACAGGUGAACUUUAGGGGACACAUUCAAAUCAUAGCACCAGCAGUUAAAUCAUUUCUCUACCAACCAAGCACACAUAAAAUAACCCCCUUUAUGAAUACUUAAAUUCCAUAGGAAAUAACGUUAAACUUUUAAAGAGUGGCUAUCUCAUACUCCUAAGUAAAGAAUAGUUAGAAUACUUAAAAUCAAACUUUUAAUACUUUGGAAAGAUCUUGGCCCUUGUUAUUACACAGACAUUGAUAUAAAUUUACUUUUAUACAAAAUUGAUAUAGAUUCAACCUAAAAUUUAUUGUGUCCCAUACAAAUAUUCACUAAACUUUUUUUGUAUCUUUUAGGGCAAUGCUAUAACCACUUCAACAUACAUUAACACAUUUAGCCCUAUUAGCAACUUGAUGGUUAGGUGCUGUCAUUGUUCCCACAUUUAGUAAGUUACUUGUAAGAAGCAGAUGAGUGCUUAAUUUUUCUUACCAGUGACAUCAACAGUUUUGCAUUUGUUCAAUAUUUUUUAUUAAAUCGGUAACUGAGAUUUGUGGCUUCUGUGCUUACCUUUCUCAUUCCAAUAAUGUUUGAAUUAAAUAAUAUGGGCUUCUAAUUUUCAUUGGCAUAAAUAGGGUGACAAAAAUUGUACUAAUAGUUAUCUUUUGGUAUUCACAGGGGAAUUGGUUCCAGGACAUGCUCACAUACAAAAUUCAUGGAUGUAGAAGUCCUUGAUAUAAAAUAGUAUAGUAAAUAUUUGCAUAUAACCUAUGUAUAUCCUCCUGUAUACUUUAAAUCCUUUCUAGAUUAUGUAUAAUCUAAUGCAAUAUAAAUACCAUAUAAAUAGUUGUUAUACUAUACUGUUUUUAUUUGUAUUAUUUCUUAUUAUUGUAUUGAUAUUUUAUAUCAGUUUUUAUUUAUUUAUUUGUUUAUUUUUUGCAACAGGGUCUUACUCUGUCGCCUAGGCUGGAGUGCACUGGUAUCACCACAGCUCACUGCAGCUUUGACCUCCCCAGCUGGGGUGAUCCUCCCACCUCACCCUUCCAGGUACCAAGAUUUGCAUCUGUCAAAGAGAUACAAACAGAGAAAUGAAACCAGAAGUAGAUACGUAUUAAGAGAUUUAUUGCAAGCAUGCAAUUAUGGGAGGCUGCCAAGGCAAACCUGAAAUCUGAACAACAUCAAAAAUGUA
rnacentral:lncRNA from 1 species